CUCUUCUAGUAUACUUAUUACAAUUGACUUCCAAUCUCUAAAAUCUGGCACCAACCCGGAGAAGAGCA
rnacentral:tRNA from 1 species